UCCCUGGUGGUCCAGUGGCUAAGACUCUGCACUCCCAAUGCAGGGGGCCCGGGUUCAAUCCCUGAUCAGGGAA